rnacentral:rRNA from 1 species
UACAGAGGCCCCAAGCGUUACUGAGAAUCACUGGGUUUAAAGGGUGCGUAGGUGGCGCGUUAAGUCCGUUGUGAAAUCCCUUGGCUCAACCAAGGAAUGGCUUCGGAUACUGGCGUGCUUGAGGCCGGUAAGGGUCACUGGAACUGACGGUGGAGCGGUGAAAUGCGUAGAUAUCGUCAGGAACGCCAAUGGUGAAGAUAGGUGACUGGGCCGGUUCUGACACUGAGGCACGAAAGCGUGGGGAGCGAACGGG